rnacentral:lncRNA from 1 species
CAUUUGCUAGUCUAGAGGCAGCAACAAGGUUAGAUGAAGAAGAGUCAUCUGCUGCUCUUUCUGAGCUCUUCCAUAGGUUCCUGGCCGGAUCUCCAUUUUCUUCUCAUUCUUUUUUAAUAUUGUCACUCUUAGAUAGCAUAUCUCUCCGUCGAAUAACCACCAGACCACUAAUCUCUUCAAAUCUUCUUAUUGUGGUGAGCUAUGAAAAAGUAGAAGAACCCUUGAGCAGAUAACAAACUUCUGACAGAGGCCGUUAAUAAUAUCAACGCAAGAGCAAGCUCCUUUCUAUAUAAACGCUUUCUCUUCCUCUUUCCUAUUUUCUUGGUCAUCUCUAAUUUAGUUGGAUUUGUGAAAAGAAAAUGGGGAUUAAAUCAGAGCAAAGAAGAAGAUGAA